GACGAACGCUGGCGGUGUGCUUAACACAUGCAAGUGGUGCGACGAACCAGGCUUCGGCCUGGGGCAAAGCCGCGAACGGGUGAGUAACACGUGGGUAAUCUGCCCCAAUGACCGGGACAACCCGAGGAAACUCGGGCUAAUACCGGAUGUGGUGCACAGGCUUAAGUCUGUGUACUAAAGGUAGCUUCGGCUUCCGCAUUGGGAGGGGCCCGCGGCCCAUUAGCUUGUUGGUGGGGUCAAGGCCUACCAAGGCAACGAUGGGUAGCUGGUCUGAGAGGACGAUCAGCCACACUGGGACUGAGACACGGCCCAG
rnacentral:rRNA from 1 species